rnacentral:rRNA from 1 species
GACGAACGCUGGCGGCGCGCCUAACACAUGCAAGUCGAACGGAGCUGUUUUUCUUCUGAAGUUUUCGGUAUGGAAGAGAGUUCAGCUUAGUGGCGAACGGGUGAGUAACACGUGAGCAACCUGCCUUUCAGUGGGGGACGAACAUUUGGUAAACGAAUGCUAAUACCGCAUAAGACCACAGUGUCGCAUGGCACAGGGGUCGAAAGGAUUUAUCCGCUGAAAGAUGGGCUCGCGUCCGAUUAGCUAGAUGGUGAGGUAACGGCCCACCAUGGCGACGAUCGGUAGCCGGACUGAGAGGUUGAACGGCCACAUUGGGACUGAGACACGGCCCAGACUCCUACGGGAGGCAGCGGUGGGGAAUAUUGCACAAAUGGGGAAAACCCUGAUGCAGCGACGCCGCGUGGAGGAAGAAGGUCUUCGGAUUGUAAACUCCUGUCCCAGGGACGAUAAUGACGGUA